rnacentral:lncRNA from 1 species
AAAUCCUUUUAGAAUUCCACUUGUCUGGUCUAUCCCUUGCUUCUUGCAUCCUCUUCAUACAAUAGUCCCUAAGUCCUUCCAUUAGCCCAAGUAUUGGUUUACCUCUUGGCACUCCAAUUUUGCUGUUAAAAACUUCACAUAAAUUGUUGCAUAACAUAUCACAUUUGGGAAAACUACUGAAAUAAGCCCUACACCAGUGCACAGGGUCUUUGUCAUCAAGCCAGG